AUGUAUUUCAGAGCCUGGGCGGCAAAUCUAGAAAGACUCCGGCACCAGCAAGUAUUCGAAUCGCUGAAUCCUGAACCAGAAACAACCUUCUUAUUUUUUCCAUGUUUUUCUCCAAAGGUGUUUCACAUUCCGACACACCAUCCGCACAAGACAUUUUCAGAUUCCUCGUCAAGGACAUCCUGUACUCUGCAUUCCAGAGCGUGUACCUACAAAAACAACCAAUUCAAAAUUUAUCAAUUUCACACACAAAACUUCAACUAUGCAGACAAAACCAGAUACCUAACAGUUACAGCUAUGCAAACAUUAGUUAAUAAUAAAAACAUAAUUGGUAAAAACUAA